ACAAAGAUAAGGCGGCUCAGCG
rnacentral:miRNA from 1 species